rnacentral:rRNA from 1 species
GAUGAACGCUAGCGGCAGGCUUAACACAUGCAAGUCGAGGGGUAGGUUACUUCGGUAAUUGAGACCGGCGCACGGGUGCGUAACGCGUAUACAAUCUACCUUUUACAGAGGGAUAGCCCAGAGAAAUUUGGAUUAAUACCUCAUAGUAUUUUUGAAUCGCAUGAUUUGAUUAUUAAAGUUCCAACGGUAAAAGAUGAGUAUGCGUCCCAUUAGCUAGAUGGUAAGGUAACGGCUUACCAUGGCUACGAUGGGUAGGGGUCCUGAGAGGGAGAUCCCCCACACUGGUACUGAGACACGGACCAGACUCCUACGGGAGGCAGCAGUGAGGAAUAUUGGGACAAAUGGGGCGGCAAGCCUGAUCCAGCCAUGCCGCGUGCAGGAAGAAGGUCCUAUGGAUUGUAAACUGCUUUUAUUACAGGAAGAAACAACUCCCUUCCGUGAGGGAACGUUGACGGGUACCUGUAUGAAUAAGGACCGGC